UUUAACAUCAACAUUUUCAUCAUUCGCACAAUUCAAUCAAAUUUCAUGGGUUUAACAACAACAUUUUCAUUAUUCACACAAUUCAAUCCAAUUUCAUGGGUUUAACAUCAACAUUUUCAUCAUUCCCAUAAUUCGAUCAAAUUUCAUGGGUUUAACAACAACAUUUUCAUCAUUCACACAAUUCAAUCAAAUUCUAUGGGUUUAACAAAAUAAUUUUCAUCAUUCAAAUAUUUCAAUCAAAUUUCAUGGUUUUAUCAAUAAUAUUUUCAUUUAU
rnacentral:lncRNA from 1 species